rnacentral:rRNA from 1 species
GUGGGGAAUAUUGGACAAUGGGCGAAAGCCUGAUCCAGCCAUGCCGCGUGUGUGAAGAAGGUCUUCGGAUUGUAAAGCACUUUAAGUUGGGAGGAAGGGCAGUAAGUUAAUACCUUGCUGUUUUGACGUUACCGACAGAAUAAGCACCGGCUAACUUCGUGCCAGCAGCCGCGGUAUUACGAAGGGUGCAAGCGUUAAUCGGACUUACUGGGCGUAACGCGCGCGUAGGUGGUUUUGUAAGUUGGAGGUGAAAUCCCCGGGCUCAACCUGGGAACUGCCUCCAAAACUGCAUGACUAGAGUACGGUAGAGGGUAGUGGAAUUUCCUGUGUAGCGGUGAAAUGCGUAGAUAUAGGAAGGAACACCAGUGGCGAAGGCGACUACCUGGACUGAUACUGACACUGAGGUGCGAAAGCGUGGGGAGCAAACAGGAUUAGAAACCCUGGUAGUCC